rnacentral:rRNA from 1 species
AGACCCGAAACCCGGUGAUCUAGCCAUGGGCAGGUUGAAGGUUGGGUAACACUAACUGGAGGACCGAACCGACUAAUGUUGAAAAAUUAGCGGAUGACCUGUGGCUGGGGGUGAAAGGCCAAUCAAACCGGGAGAUAGCUGGUUCUCCCCGAAAGCUAUUUAGGUAGCGCCUCGUGAAUUCAUCUCCGGGGGUAGAGCACUGUUUCGGCUAGGGGGCCAUCCCGGCUUACCAACCCGAUGCAAACUGCGAAUACCGGAGAAUGUUAUCACGGGAGACACACGGCGGGUGCUAACGUCCGUCGUGAAGAGGGAAACAACCCAGACCGCCAGCUAAGGUCCCAAAGUCAUGGUUAAGUGGGAAACGAUGUGGGAAGGCCCAGACAGCCAGGAUGUUGGCUUAGAAGCAGCCAUCAUUUAAAGAAAGCGUAAUAGCUCACUGGUCGAGUCGGCCUGCGCGGAAGAUGUAACGGGGCUAAACCAUGCACCGAAGCUGCGGCAGCGAACGUAUCACCCAAGACAACUUUACGGAGUUGACGAUUGACGGAGCGAAGCGACGUCAAAGCGUUCAUUAAAGUCGAGUUGGCUUAGGGAUACGUUCGUUGGGUAGGGGAGCGUUCUGUAAGCCUGUGAAGGUGUGUCGUGAGGCAUGCUGGAGGUAUCAGAAGUGCGAAUGCUGACAUAAGUAACGAUAAAGCGGGUGAAAAGCCCGCUCGCCGGAAGACCAAGGGUUCCUGUCCAACGUUAAUCGGGGCAGGGUGAGUCGACCCCUAAGGCGAGGCCGAAAGGCGUAGUCGAUGGGAAACGGGUUAAUAUUCCCGUACUUGGUGUUACUGCGAAGGGGGGACGGAGAAGGCUAUGUUGGCCGGGCGACGGUUGUCCCGGUUUAAGCGUGUAGGCUGGUUUUCCAGGCAAAUCCGGAAAAUCAAGGCUGAGGCGUGACGACGAGGCACUACGGUGCUGAAGCAACAAAUGCCCUGCUUCCAGGAAAAGCCUCUAAGCAUCAGGUAACAUCAAAUCGUACCCCAAACCGACACAGGUGGUCAGGUAGAGAAUACCAAGGCGCUUGAGAGAACUCGGGUGAAGGAACUAGGCAAAAUGGUGCCGUAACUUCGGGAGAAGGCACGCUGACA